AGCAGCUUUUCUUGAGGCAGCAGAUGGCGUGAGCUGGGCUCUGCGGAUGCUGAGGCUGCUCUGGGCUCUGCCAGGGCUCUGCUGGGCUCAGCCCUGGGCACGGCUGGGCUCGCUCUGCCCUCACAUUGCUCUGACAGCUUUGCACCAGAUGAGCCCUUUCCAAGCACAGCGCCUGAGCUUUCUGCUUUUGCAGAAGUGCCACGAGUGAGCAAAACCUGGCGAGUGGGC